rnacentral:lncRNA from 1 species
CGCGGAACGAGGAAGUUGCUUCAACGAGUUUGGACACUUGGGAGUUUUUUCUACCUCAGAGCCUAGGCAGGAGGAACCUCUAUAAAUAAGUGCCAAGAUAAAAAGUUGGAGGCAUUAUGCUGUAUUGGUGCUGGGCAUUACCUCUGGACCAUCUUUCCUUUGGAGUCUUCUUUCUCAAGUAAACAGCGGGACAACCUUGUUUAUGCAGCCAACUUCCCUGCAGUAUGUCCACAUGNCUAACCUUCCAAUUAUUUGCUGGUUUGAAAAGCGAUUCAGCCUACAAUCUUACCAGGAAGUGUGCCAUCUUGGCUUGGUAGUUCCUGAUACUUCCACUAGAGGGCAGCAUACU